rnacentral:misc_RNA from 1 species
AUGGUUAUGGUGUGUGAAGAGCAAAUGAACCUCCCUUUUGCAUCAGGAUAUUCAAAAAGAAAUAUGUGCGCUCUAGCCACGUCAUCUGUGUGCACCAUUGAUACAUUGAGCAGAAAAACAUAUUGCUCUCUCUCACCCAGUGUCAUAGCCAGUGCUGUGUGCACUGAACCAGGGAACUUAGGACAAAUAAAGGGACCAACAAUAAAAGAAGGAAUUACUGUUACAAGAUCCAAUCCAUGUUCUUCUGCGAAUUCGAGAGCUCUCUUCUCAGCCAACAUCUUGGAAAUCCAGUAAGGACUCGCAAAGGAAUUUAAGGCUCUAAUGUAAUCCACAUCACUCCAAAAACUUUCGUCCAUUACUUCUGCACUUUUAUAAUUAAAAUCAACUGCUGCUGCACUAGAAGUGUAUACUACUCGCUUCACUGUCUUUGAGUUCAAGCAUACUCUUAAGAUUCCUACUGUUCCAUCAAUUGCUUUUCUGAUAACUACUUCCUCAGGUUCUCCGCUGUUAAAGUGAGUAGGGGUGGGAGUAGCAACAUGAAAGACACCAACGCAUCCUUUAAUAGCAACAUCAAAACUAUCUGGAUCACUAAGAUCUGCAUGGAAGAUUUGGAGCUUCUCAGACGCUCCUGGUAGACUUGUUAGGAAGGCUACAUCUCUCUUCUGCUCUGGUUUGGAUCUAAUGGUGGUGCGAACAGAGUAACCAUGAUCAAGAAGCCUCAUGAUCAACCAGGAUGCUACAUACCCAGCGCCACCCGUAACGCAUACUGUACCUUUUUCUCCUUCCAUCUCUGUCCUUAGUCCUUUCCCUGUUUACCUGUCUUCCUCUUUCUCUGCGUGCGUGUGAAGGAAGGAUGAUGAUUUAUAAGGUCAGGAAAAG